rnacentral:lncRNA from 1 species
AGUGACCCCUUGCUGGAUAAAUUGAACGUAGUGACAGAUUAGAGGCCCUGGUGGGCUCCCCUGCCUAGAACAAUAUACAGCUGAUGUGAACGAUGAAACGCACAAAUGCUUCUGUGCUAUGGAUUUUACUGGAGUUCAGAUGUUUCCUGCCUGUGACAAGUGAGGUGUGUGAUUUGCUCUCCUGCUUUUGCUUAACUGGCCAGCAAGUGAAUUCAGAGUGAGCAGGUCAGCUCGGGAGCAAGAAGGACCUAAAGAGAUCAAAAUAACAGUUAAAAAUGAUGGCCCUGUUCUUACAGGAGAGCUGACUAUGGCCAUGCUGAGCGCUCGUCAGGAUCAGACCCGCACAAAUCACCUCACAUUCAAAUUCCAGGUCUG